GAGUUUGAUCUUGGCUCAGGAUGAACGCUGGCGGCGUGCUUAACACAUGCAAGUCGAACGAAGCGCCUUAUUUGAUUUUCUUCGGAACUGAAGAUUUGGUGACUGAGUGGCGGACGGGUGAGUAACGCGUGGGUAACCUGCCCUGUACAGGGGGAUAACAAUCAGAAAUGACUGCUAAUACCGCAUAAGACCACAGCACCGCAUGGUGCAGGGGUAAAAACUCCGGUGGUACAGGAUGGACCCGCGUCUGAUUAGCUGGUUGGUGAGGUAACGGCUCACCAAGGCGACGAUCAGUAGCCGGCUUGAGAGAGUGAACGGCCACAUUGGGACUGAGACACGGCCCAAACUCCUACGGGAGGCAGCAGUGGGGAAUAUUGCACAAUGGGGGAAACCCUGAUGCAGCAACGCCGCGUGAGUGAAGAAGUAUUUCGGUAUGUAAAGCUCUAUCAGCAGGGAAGAAAGUGACGGUACCUGACUAAGAAGCCCCGGCUAACUACGUGCCAGCCGCCGCCGUAAG
rnacentral:rRNA from 1 species